rnacentral:rRNA from 1 species
CUGCGAAUGGCUCAUUAUAUAAGUUAUCGUUUAUUUGAUAGUACCUUACUACUUGGAUAACCGUGGUAAUUCUAGAGCUAAUACAUGCUAAAAAUCCCGACUUCGGAAGGGAUGUAUUUAUUAGAUUAAAAACCAAUGCCCCUCGGGGCUCUCUGGUGAUUCAUAAUAACUUCUCGAAUCGCACGGCCUUGCGCCGGCGAUGGUUCAUUCAAAUUUCUUCCCUAUCAACUUUCGAUGUUUGGGUAGUGGCCAAACAUGGUUGCAACGGGUAACGGAGGGUUAGGGCUCGACCCCGGAGAAGGAGCCUGAGAAACGGCUACUACAUCCAAGGAAGGCAGCAGGCGCGCAAAUUACCCAAUCCCGAUUCGGGGAGGUAGUGACAAUAAAUACUGAUACAGGGCUCUUUCGGGUCUUGUAAUUGGAAUGAGUACAAUUUAAAUCCCUUAACGAGGAACAAUUGGAGGGCAAGUCUGGUGCCAGCAGCCGCGGUAAUUCCAGCUCCAAUAGCGUAUAUUAAAGUUGUUGUGGUUAAAAAGCUCGUAGUUGAACCUUGGGCCUGGCUGGCCGGUCCGCCUCACCGCGUGUCACUGGUCCGGCCGGGUCUUUCCCUCUGUGGAACCACAUGCCCUUCACUGGGCGUGGCGGGGAAACAGGACUUUUACUUUGAAAAAAUUAGAGUGCUCCAGGCAGGCCUAUGCUCGAAUACAUUAGCAUGGAAUAAUGAAAUAGGACGUGCGGUUCUAUUUUGUUGGUUUCUAGGACCGCCGUAAUGAUUAAUAGGGACAGUCGGGGGCAUCAGUAUUCAAUUGUCAGAGGUGAAAUUCUUGGAUUUAUUGAAGACUAACUACUGCGAAAGCAUUUGCCAAGGAUGUUUUCAUUAAUCAGGAACGAAAGUUAGGGGAUCGAAGACGAUCAGAUACCGUCGUAGUCUUAACCAUAAACUAUGCCGACUAGGGAUCGGACGAUGUUAUUUAGUUGACUCGUUCGGCACCUUACGAGAAAUCAAAGUG